CCUGCCCGGAGCGGGCUCCGCAGCGACCGCGAUCCCCGUACAGCACCGCAGCGAAGCAGCACCUAGCGCUGGGGAAAAGCAAAGCCCCGCGCUGUUCAGUGAAGCCCUUUGCUGUUGUUCUCUUUGCAACGUGUGUAGGGGUAGUGUAAACCCAUAGCUAUCUGCUGCUCCAAUGAACAGCUGAGCAAAUGAGCAAAUGAGCAAAUGAGUGGUUUCCAGUCAUCCCUGGGCCUUGGCUGCAGCACUAGGAAGGGGAUCCCUGUUGUGGGACUGCUGAUGAUUUACCCAGUGACAACUGAAUUUCACUGAUCCAGUGAAGACAGGGAAGUGUUUCUGAUUGGGUUUUAUACCAGGAACACAAAUGCUGUGUCCUCCUGGUCCACCCAGAGCCAUCAGCACUAAACCAGAGCUGAUAAACUGCUACAAGAACCAGAACCAAAGACAACUCCCACCUGCCACAUCCCAGCAGCUCAGCAGGGCCAGAGCUAUCCUGACUCCUUGGAAUAAUGGUGCUGACGUGCUGGGAGGGCUCCCAGGGACAGGGACAGAGUGCUGCCCCUUUGUGUGGAGGCACAUCUAGAUAGAGACAUUGAAGAUAAUUCUGCUUAUGAACACGGCUGCUCCUUUGAGUCAACCAAUUUUUUAAUUAUGUGUUACUCUUCAGGUGGAAUUCUGGAUGCUAUUUUCUUUGAUAUCUUUAUGACUCAUGCUUCAGUUGAGCAAAGCAAGCUUCAAUUUGCUAAUGCAAGUGUGUACAAAUUUGAAACUGGUUAGGUUGGGUGUGUCUGCCUAUAGAAACACACAUUUUCUUAUAGUUUUCAAUGAAUGUUACUGGUGCAAAAUUAUCUGGCUACAUCUUAGCUGAAUUUAAGUAAUUCAUAGUUUGAAUACCAUUCUUUCAAGGUUAAUUCAGCCGGGUAAUUGCUGAGGUUCAGAAGAGGAAAACUGCAUUAAUUGUGAAAAACCUGUGAAUAAGAAGUUGUCUCUCUUGAUCAGCUCAAGGGUUGUACAACCAGCUGGCAUCACCCCACAUCUGCUGUGCAUGAGGCCAGUUCCCUCCCACAGCCUGGCAAGCAGGGCACAAACGAAAUGGUCUUCAUGGAGAAAAUGAAGAAAUCAUUGUUCUUGCUUUCCUUCAGGCUGUUGUUUGCAAAGCCUGGAGGGACCUGCUCCCUCCUCACCCUUCUGCCAGGCCAGGGGGGCAGAGCCCAGGGCCCAUUGCUGCUGGGAUGGGACAUUUCCAGCAGCACCAGCAGGGAUUCCAUCCCUGCCACGGGGAUGUGGUGGCACCAGCCAGACAAACCCUGCUGCUCAGGGCUCUGCUCUCCCACAUGUGCUCCUCUGGAGCUGCUCCCACCCUGGCAGGGGUAACUCUGCAGAGGAGCUGCUCUGGUUCUGCUCCCAGCCAAACCAAACAAGGCAUCAGCAAACCCCAAAAGAAGGGAAGGAAAAAGUUUGUUUGAUCCAAGCCCUCUGUGUAAUCCUCCCAGCUGGGAGCACCUUUACCAGCUCAUGCUGCUGUGGUCAGCAGGAAAAAAAAAAAAAAACAUUAAAAAAAGAAAUUCAAGGCUCCUUGAGGAAUCUUCCCAACGUGCUGAGACUUUUGGGGAAAACUGCAAAAAUACUGUUUGCAUUUAAAUGUAGGUAACUCUCCCCAGUGCAUUCCUGGUAGUGUACAAAUCCUGAUUUGUCACACACCUGCAGUAGCUUGUGGAGGAAAACAAGGCUUACAAAUCAAUGUUUCAAUGUACUAAUUCACUGCUUUGCAAUAUAGUUUGUUUGUUAUUUGCAAAUGUACAAAUAUGGGAAAAUUAAUUGUACCAUUUGCUUUCUCAAAAUAAAUAUGUUUUUUCAUCUACCAAUCCAAAUGUUUCCAAAGAACUGAGUGAUUAAUAUCGUCUCUAAAACUGUGAUUAUGUCAAUAAACAUAAAGCAAGAUA